CAAAUCUAAGGGAUGAAGAAAAAAAGGGAGCAAGGCUGCAGAGUUGCUUUUCUCCUCAGAAGGUUAAAGAGGGACCCUGCCAAGCUACGGAGAGAGAGUCAGGAGAGUCACUCAUUAGCAGAGGGACUUAGGCAUCUAUGGCUGCCAUGUCAGUGGUGACCUUGAAGCACUGAUAAACACCAACUGCGGAAGGGGAGAAACACGGUGAUGAGGCAAGAAUGACCCUGAACUUCUGAUCCUCCUGUCUGCACCUCAUCCCAUCUGCUGCCACCCAGCCAAUGUCAGCUAGCACUGUGAGCAGUCGAAGAAGAUGAGAACUGGUUACCCUUAGUACAGUGUAUGAGGCCAAACAACAGAAUGUCGAAAGUAUGAAUGAAAAACAAGUUUGCUUCACAGCUUCCAGAGUUUGAAUUUCCUCACCAGCUGGAGCCACUUCACCAAGAAAUGUGAACAUUUUCUCAGAAGCACACUACUAUAUGAACUCUAUUGUCACAGUUUUAUUAACAACUAUAUCAAAUAUAUUUUCUGACCUAUAAGUACAAAUCAUCCUGGUGCCUUUCUGUCCAUUGACUAAGUCUGAUAACUUGAGCAGAAUAAAAGCCAGUAUUUCUCACUUGAUUGUUAUAUGGCUAUCGUUCACUCGAGCUGUGCAGCAUGACUGAACUGAUAGAGAAGGGAAUAUGAUUCUGAUAUUAAUUCUUGCUCAAAUGAAAAUGCUUUGUGUGUCAGGCUCCAGUGGAUUCCCUUCUAAUUUCCUUUUGCUCUGUUUUACCCAAGCCAUACUCUGCUGUUGUCAUUUGGUAUUCUGAAUUCCAUAAAGCCUCUUCUGCCCACCUCA